CCUACGGGUGGCAGCAGUGGGGAAUAUUGGACAAUGGGCGAAAGCCUGAUCCAGCCAUGCCGCGUGUGUGAAGAAGGCCUUCGGGUUGUAAAGCACUUUCAGUGGGGAAGAAAGCCUUGGGGCUAAUACCCUCGAGGAAGGACAUCACCCACAGAAGAAGCACCGGCUAACUCCGUGCCAGCAGCCGCGGUAAUACGGAGGGUGCGAGCGUUAAUCGGAAUUACUGGGCGUAAAGCGCGCGUAGGCGGUCUGAUAAGCCGGUUGUGAAAGCCCCGGGCUCAACCUGGGAACGGCAUCCGGAACUGUCAGGCUAGAGUGCAGGAGAGGAAGGUAGAAUUCCCGGUGUAGCGGUGAAAUGCGUAGAGAUCGGGAGGAAUACCAGUGGCGAAGGCGGCCUUCUGGACUGACACUGACGCUGAGGUGCGAAAGCGUGGGUAGCAAACAGGAUUAGAUACCUGUCGU
rnacentral:rRNA from 1 species